UAGGGAAUCUUCCACAAUGGACGCAAGUCUGAUGGAGCAACGCCGCGUGAGUGAAGAAGGCUUUCGGGUCGUAAAACUCUGUUAUUGAAGAAGAACGUGUGUGACAGUAACUGGUCAUGCAGUGACGGUAUUCAAUCAGAAAGUCACGGCUAACUACGUGCCAGCAGCCGCGGUAAUACGUAGGUGGCAAGCGUUGUCCGGAUUUAUUGGGCGUAAAGCGAGUGCAGGCGGUCUUUUAAGUCUGAUGUGAAAGCCUUCGGCUUAACCGAAGAAGGGCAUCGGAAACUGGGAGACUUGAGUGCAGAAGAGGAGAGUGGAACUCCAUGUGUAGCGGUGAAAUGCGUAGAUAUAUGGAAGAACACCGGUGGCGAAGGCGGCUCUCUGGUCUGUAACUGACGCUGAGGCUCGAAAGCGUGGGUAGCAAACAGGAUUAGAUACCCUGGUAGUCCACGCCGUAAACGAUGAAUAC
rnacentral:rRNA from 1 species